CGCGUAGACGGCUGUCUAAGUCUGGAGUGAAAGCCCCAUUUUCAAGGUGGGGAGUGCUUUGGAGACUGGAGAGCUUGAGUGCGGAAGAGGUAAGUGGAAUUCCCAGUGUAGCGGUGAAAUGCGUAGAGAUUGGGAGGAACACCAGUGGCGAAGGCGACUUACUGGGCCGUAACUGACGCUGAGGCGCGAAAGCGUGGGGAGCGAACA
rnacentral:rRNA from 1 species